AUGGGCUAGGUCUGUAACGUGUGGGCCGUUUAUUUGGAGUGAUUCGAUUCGGUUUGUCUUCCUUCAACGUUCAAAUUCCCCGCCAACGAUCACGUGCCGUGAGUAAUAGUUGACUUUCCGGUCAACAUUUAUAUGCCCCAACUUCUCACUUUUACUAAAAUCCGACAGCCUCCACUUUCUUUUUCUAUUUUUGGUUGGCCUUCACUCUUGACUACUUUUUUUUUUCUUUCUAUUUUUGGUUCGCCUUCAAUCUUGACUCAAUUGCAGAUAAGCCUUUUUUUCGGGGUGACGUUCGCACUACGAAUGUUUGUUUGGGAACAUUCACACUUUGUAACACAUGUUCUAUUUUAACUAGAUAAUAUUUGCCACAAAAGUCCCACCCGAAGUUUUUCUUCCAAGGUUAUACUCAUUACCUAGGGGUGGAUUUUUUUGCCAAAUUGGCGUAUCAACCAUGUCAUACCGCUUUUAUGCCAAAUUUUUUAUGUCAAUUGGUAAUGGUACGAUAUUGUAUCGUACUGAAAUUUCUUGAUACGGUAUUAGUAAUGGAUACCAUUACCAUGGUAUUAUAGUACCGUAAAAUAUAAUAUAAUAUAUAAUUUAUAAAUUAUAUAAUAUAUAAUUAUAUAACACAUAUUUAUAAUAUAUAUAUUUAUAAUAUUCCAAUAAUUUGAAAAUAAAACCCUACUUAUUAGCAUUGGUGUUGGUGACUUUGAUCUCUUGAGUUGGUGGAAAUCAAACACAAUAAAGUUCCCAAUUCUUUCACAAAUAGCUAAGGAUAUCUUUGCAACCCCCACUAUUACUGUUGCUAGUGAAAAUGCAUUUAGCCUAGGGAGAAGGGUUGUGGACCCUUUUAGGGCAUCAUUGACUCCUAAAAUGGUAGAAACACUAGUGUGUACUAGUGAUUGGCUUAGGACGGAUGAAGUAAACUUCUACAAGGAACCAACGAGAGAUAUGCGUCAAUUUUACAAAGAAAUGGGAGAAGUGGAAACAAUCUUGACACAAGCUCAAUCUUCUACAAAUUCAAUGCCUUCUCCAAAAGCUUUGGCAUCUCAAGCUUGAAGGAUUGAUGAAUGAAUUUUACUUUUUGAAGUUUAGUUCCAAUUUCAUUUGGUUUGAAACUUUAGCUUCUAUUUGGAUUGUUAACUUCUAUUUGUUUUGGUUCAUAACUUCUAUUUGGAUUGUAGGCUUAAUUUUCAUCAUGAAUCUUGAUGCAUAUCAUUUGAAUUAUUGUGUGCGUGAAUUGUGAAUGAUGAAUAAUAAAUGAAUUUAGGCUACAA